AGCGAACGCUGGCGGCAGGCCUAACACAUGCAAGUCGAACGAAGUCUUCGGACUUAGUGGCGGACGGGUGAGUAACACGUGGGAACGUACCUUUUGGUUCGGAACAACUGAGGGAAACUUGAGCUAAUACCGGAUGAGCCCUUAGGGGGAAAGAUUUAUCGCCGAAAGAGCGGCCCGCGUUAGACUAGCUAGUUGGUGAGGUAAAGGCUCACCAAGGCUACGAUCUAUAGCUGGUCUGAGAGGAUGAUCAGCCACACUGGGACUGAGACACGGCCCAGACUCCUACGGGAGGCAGCAGUGGGGAAUCUUGCGCAAUGGGCGAAAGCCUGACGCAGCCAUGCCGCGUGAAUGAUGAAGGUCUUAGGAUUGUAAAAUUCUUUUACCAGGGACGAUAAUGACGGUACCUGGAGAAAAAGCCCCGGCUAACUUCGUGCCAGCCGCCGCGGUAACAC
rnacentral:rRNA from 1 species